UAAAUGUAGAUGAGGAGCUGGAGCUCAGAAUUGAAAACAUCUCUGUUUCCUCAGAGACCACCAUUUAAAGGCUGAUGAGGUUGGAGCCAAAGGCAAGACACAGGCAGGAGCUGAGAAGCCAAUACAGCUGUCAGCUGAUGCAGGAACAGGAAGAGAAUUAUUUUCACAAGCUGGCAUGUUUAGGAGAGAAGCAUUCUUGUCCUCAUCAGAGACAUCAGUGAUCGUGUCCUCGUUGCCUGGAACCCUCUUGGGAAAAAUGAGCAAGAGUUCAGGAAAUCUCGUGUGUAGAUAAGCAGACACCACCAACAACUGAAAAGUAUGGUGGAGACAUAUGAAAGCCCAGUUCUUCUACAGAAGCCCAGCCAACUCCAGGAGCAAUCGAAGAAAUUCCCUGCAGUUAAAAAAGAAAUAGUGAGGCCAUUUCCCAGUGAAGAAUUUUCUCACAUGGAAUUUCUCAUUGGCUCUGGUUGGUGCCCCUAA
rnacentral:lncRNA from 1 species